AAGGUGGGGAUGACGUCAAGUCCUCAUGGCCCUUAGUGUCCAGGGCUACACACGUGCUACAAUGGGCGGUACAAGGGUAGCGAUGCCGCGAGGCGAAGCCAAUACCCAAAAACGCCGUCCUCAGUUCGGAUUGGAGUCUGCAACUCGACUCCAUGAAGCCGGAAUCGCUGGUAAUCGCGGAUCAGCAUGCCGCGGUGAAUACGUUCCCGGGCCUU
rnacentral:rRNA from 1 species